rnacentral:rRNA from 3 species
ACGACUCUCGACAACGGAUAUCUCGGCUCUCGCAUCGAUGAAGAACGUAGCGAAAUGCGAUACUUGGUGUGAAUUGCAGAAUCCCGUGAACCAUCGAGUCUUUGAACGCAAGUUGCGCCCGAAGCCACUAGGCUGAGGGCACGUCUGCCUGGGUGUCACGU